AUUGAACGCUGGCGGCAGGCCUAACACAUGCAAGUCGAACGAGUGGCGGACGGGUGAGUAAUGUCUGGGAAACUGCCUGAUGGAUGGGGAUAACUACUGGAAACGGUAGCUAAUACCGCAUACCAUCAGAUGUGCGCAGAUGGGAUUAGCUAGUAGGUGGGGGAACGGCUCACCUAGGCGACGCUCCCUAGCUGGUCUGAGAGGAUGUCCAGCCAAACUGGAACUGAGCCACGGUCCAGACUCCUACGGGAGGCAGCAGUGGGGAAGAUUGCACAAUGGGCGCAAGCCUGAUGCAGCCAUGCCGCGUGUAUGAAGAAGGCCUUCGGGUUGUAAAGUACUUUCAGCGGGGAGGCGUUACCCGCAGAAGAAGCACCGGCUAACUACGGGCCAGCAGCCGCGGUAAUUC
rnacentral:rRNA from 1 species